rfam:Gossypium hirsutum cultivar TM-1 unplaced genomic scaffold scaffold1588.1, whole genome shotgun sequence
UAUUAAAAAUUUCAUCUAUUUUUAUUAUUAAAAACUAAUGUAACUAAUAGAAUAACCAAAUAGUUAAACAUGACAUGCCACGUGUACCUCAUGCUGUCGUAUAAUGACUAGUUUUAAUAAUAGAAAUGAAUGAAAUUUUUAACA